UACGGAGGGGGCUAGCGUUGUUCGGAAUUACUGGGCGUAAAGCGCACGUAGGCGGCUUUGUAAGUUAGAGGUGAAAGCCCGGGGCUCAACUCCGGAAUUGCCUUUAAGACUGCAUCGCUAGAAUUGUGGAGAGGUAAGUGGAAUUCCGAGUGUAGAGGUGAAAUUCGUAGAUAUUCGGAAGAACACCAGUGGCGAAGGCGACUUACUGGACACAUAUUGACGCUGAGGUGGCGAAAAGCGUGGGGAGCAACAGG
rnacentral:rRNA from 1 species